CAGUCAACAACUCUCCAGAUACUGAAACAACAGACCCAAAUGUCCAACUCAAGAUGCAAUGCGAAUGGUUUAGAUGAAUCUGAUUCUAAUGUGAGUAUAAGUGAUAUUGUAGAGGAUUAUAAACCAGAGCCCAAACUAGAUCCUAAACCAGCAAAAAAUAAAUGGUUAGUAGUACAAAAAAAACUAAGGAAAACAGUCGAGAUGUCAGCUUUCGAAAAAGUGGUAAUAGAAGCCGUGUUU